GGUUCCAUAGUGUAGCGGUUAGCACUCAGGAUUCUGACUCCUGCAACCCGAGUUCAAAUCUCGGUGGGACCU